UGGGGAAUAUUGGACAAUGGGCGCAAGCCUGAUCCAGCCAUGCCGCGUGAGUGAUGAAGGCCCUGGGGUUGUAAAGCUCUUUCACCGGUGAAGAUAAUGACGGUAACCGGAGAAGAAGCCCCGGCUAACUUCGUGCCAGCAGCCGCGGUAAUACGAAGGGGGCUAGCGUUGUUCGGAUUUACUGGGCGUAAAGCGCACGUAGGCGGACUUUUAAGUCAGGGGUGAAAUCCCGGGGCUCAACCCCGGAACUGCCUUUGAUACUGGAAGUCUUGAGUAUGGUAGAGGUGAGUGGAAGUCCGAGUGUAGAGGUGAAAUUCGUAGAUAUUCGGAGGAACACCAGUGGCGAAGGCGGCUCACUGGACCAUUACUGACGCUGAGGUGCGAAAGCGGGGGGAGCAAACAGG
rnacentral:rRNA from 1 species